AUAAAGUGUUGUGGACCCACUGAUGGACUUUUGUGUUUGAAGAGACAAUAUCCCCCAAAACGCGUUAACCAGCCCGGGAUACAAAUUUGAUUUAAUUGCAAC